ACGUCGCUGGCGGCAGGCUUACACAUGCAGUCGAGCGGUAACAGGGGUAGCUUGCUUCCCGCUGACGAGCGGCGGACGGGUGAGUAAUGCUUAGGAAUCUGCCCAGUAGUGGGGGAUAGCCCGGGGAAACCCGGAUUAAUACCGCAUACGUCCUACGGGAGAAAGCAGGGGAUCUUCGGACCUUGCGCUAUUGGAUGAGCCUAAGUCGGAUUAGCUAGUUGGUGGGGUAAAGGCCUACCAAGGCGACGAUCCGUAGCUGGUCUGAGAGGAUGAUCAGCCACAUCGGGACUGAGACACGGCCCGAACUCCUACGGGAGGCAGCAGUGGGGAAUAUUGGACAAUGGGGGCAACCCUGAUCCAGCCAUGCCGCGUGUGUGAAGAAGGCUUUCGGGUUGUAAAGCACUUUCAGUAGGGAGGAAAACCUUAUGGCUAAUACCCAUGAGGCUUGACGUUACCUACAGAAGAAGCACCGGCUAACUCCGUGCCAGCAGCCGCGGUAAUACGGAGGGUGCAAGCGUUAAUCGGAAUUACUGGGCGUAAAGCGCGCGUAGGUGGUUUGGUAAGCGAGAUGUGAAAGCCCCGGGCUUAACCUGGGAACGGCAUUUCGAACUGUCAGACUAGAGUGUGGUAGAGGGUAGUGAAUUUCCUGUGUAGCGGUGAAAUGCGUAAUAUAGGAAAGAACACCAGUGGCGAGGCGGCUACCUGGACCAACACUGACACUGAGUGCGAAAGCGUGGGAGCAACAAGAAU
rnacentral:rRNA from 1 species